rnacentral:rRNA from 1 species
UACGUAGGGCGCAAGCGUUGUCCGGAAUUAUUGGGCGUAAAGAGCUCGUAGGCGGUCUGUUGCGUCCGCUGUGAAAACUCGGGGCUUAACCCCGAGCCUGCAGUGGAUACGGGCAGACUAGAGGUAGGUAGGGGAGAAUGGAAUUCCCGGUGUAGCGGUGAAAUGCGCAGAUAUCUGGAGGAACACCGGUGGCGAAGGCGGCAUCCUGGACCAACACUGACGCUGAUGAGCGAAAGCCAGGGGGGCAAACGGG